AUUGAACGCUGGCGGCAGGCCUAACACAUGCAAGUCGAACGGCAGCACAGAAGAGCUUGCUCUUUGGGUGGCGAGUGGCGGACGGGUGAGUAAUGUCUGGGAAACUGCCCGAUGGAGGGGGAUAACUACUGGAGACGGUAGCUAAUACCGCAUAACGUCGCAAGACCAAAGUGGGGGACCUUCGGGCCUCACACAAUCGGAUGUGCCCAGAUGGGAUUAGCUAGUAGGUGGGGUAAUGGCUCACCUAGGCGACGAUCCCUAGCUGGUCUGAGAGGAUGACCAGCCACACUGGAACUGAGACACGGUCCAGACUCCUACGGGAGGCAGCAGUGGGGAAUAUUGCACAAUGGGCGCAAGCCUGAUGCAGCCAUGCCGCGUGUAUGAAGAAGGCCUUCGGGUUGUAAAGUACUUUCAGCGGGGAGGAAGGCGGUGAGGUUAAUAACCUUGCCGAUUGACGUUACCCGCAGAAGAAGCACCGGCUAACUCCGUGCCAGCCGCCGCAGUAA
rnacentral:rRNA from 1 species